rnacentral:rRNA from 1 species
AACGAACGCUGGCGGCAGGCUUAACACAUGCAAGUCGAGCGCCCCGCAAGGGGAGCGGCCGACGGGUGAGUAACGCGUGGGAACGUACCUUUUGGUUCGGAACAACUUCGGGAAACUGGAGCUAAUACCGGAUAAGCCCUAACGGGGAAAGAUUUAUCGCCGAAAGAUCGGCCCGCGUCUGAUUAGCUAGUUGGUGAGGUAACGGCUCACCAAGGCGACGAUCAGUAGCUGGUCUGAGAGGAUGAUCAGCCACACUGGGACUGAGACACGGCCCAGACUCCUACGGGAGGCAGCAGUGGGGAAUAUUGGACAAUGGGCGCAAGCCUGAUCCAGCCAUGCCGCGUGAGUGAUGAAGGCCUUAGGGUUGUAAAGCUCUUUUGUCCGGGAAGAUAAUGACUGUACCGGAAGAAUAAGCCCCGGCUAACUUCGUG